ACACCUGCCUCGGCCUCCCAAAGUGUACUAAAUACAUUCUUUUUUAUUCUCUAUUCAAUUACAAUAUCUGCAGUUUUGUUGCUCUGGCUUAUCGUUUAUUAUCUGGCAACUUUUGCACAUUGUGGCUUAUUUAUUUGUGUGUAUUCUUUGAUUUUGUAUUAUGACCUGAUAUUCCUUGGAACUUUAUCAAACUUGGAAAUUCUUUGAGAACUAUGUAAAAAGUGUUUCCCUUUGAGGGGUGUUUUUAUUUGCUUUUGUUAGGUGCAUGGGAGCACUACCAAGCCAGAAUUGCUUAAAAUGAAAUUUUCUACUUGAGGUUUUUUUUUUUUUUUCUUGCCGCAUGGAUAGUGAGAAUUUCAGCCCAAAACAAUCAUGCUUCUCCACUUAAGAUUAGAAAUUAUCAAUGACUUUUUUUCCUCCCUGCUUUACUUAGGGCCAAAGCCAAAAACAGGCAUGUGUAGCCCCAUCAUUUACGUCUGCAAGGAGUUUGUUCUCCAGUUUAACCUCUGAAUGGGUCCUGGUUUUAUGUGAGUUCUAUGAUACAAUGUACCACGUGCAGGCCCCAGACUUUGUCUUCCAUCUCCUUCAUAAUGUAAUGUAGUCCAUGAGAAAGUGAUGUAGAUCACCAACACAAAUGAACACAUGCUUAUUCUGGUGGAUUUUCACUUUCCUGUCAUUUCUGGACUUCAGGGAAUUCCUUACUCUCUUAUAAAUGCAGCUGUGCAUUUAAAAAAUAUGUUUUGCAGAUUAUAUAGCAUUUUUCAUUGUGAUACACAGGCUUUUUGUUCUGUGUAUAUCUGGUCUACCAUAAUGCUUGUAAGGAAACACAUUUAAUCUUCUGUGAGGUAUAAUUUAUUAUUCCCAGGUUUUAUGUAGGAAUAUCUUAGGGUCACAGAGGUUAGGUGAUUUUUCCCAACACUGUAGAGAUACUAAGUGGUGGAGGUGAGGUUGAAAUAGGUCUAAACCCAAAGCCAAGGCACUUUUAAAAGAUUAAUAAAGUUUGUCGAAUGAUACUUGGACUAACUCCUGCCUGAAUUAAGCUAGAAAUUAAUAUAAGUUCUUUAAUUCAGUUAGGAAGAUCCCAAAUCAGAAACAAAUCAUAAUAAAAAUUGAGAUCAGGAAGCUUCCUGAGUGUAGCUCCUCAUAUCACUGUCCCACACAUAAGUACUGCCCCAUAUGGCAAUCGGGAGGCCCCAGGAAUGCUUGCUAGGGUCAGGCCCUGCUCCUCUAAGUUAGUUGAAAGCUCCCUCCCUACUCAGUGACUGCUCUCAUACUUCUUCACUGUAGCUGUUGGCUCUCAGAACAUGAUGCCCAAAGUAUAGCGCCUCGGUGUGCUGAGUACUUUGAACUGAAAGACAUUGGAAGGGCCUCCGAAGAAAGAUCUCUUUGACCUUCUCCUGCCCUCUUGUCUUUCAUGCUUCUUUCUCCCCUGGAGUGAACCAUGGAAACUAGAAUUCCUCUUCCGCAAGACAAUGAUAGAAACUAGAAGCCCUUUCCCCAAAGCAAGCCAUAAAACUUAGGAAGGUCACUCUCUCCCUUCUCCCUUCUCAUUUGAAGACCCUUAAUCCAGAGGAAUCCUGCCCCAUACUUGCAAAGAAGAAAUGCUACACAGAGAGUCCAAGAAGAAUUUGAACCCAGUCUAUUACCAUUAGAUCAUACUCUUGUCCAAACACAUCUCUACAGAGCUGCCCAUUCUUCAUGGAACCUAAGCACAAAAACAGUUUUCCCUGGAUCUUUGGGUCUUCAUUUCUGAAGGCUCUCAUAUCACAUAAAACUUUGAUUAAGUAAAUUUGUUAUGCUUUUCUCUUGUUAACUUGUCUUUUGUUAUAGGAGUGUCAGCCAUGACUCUUACAAUGAGUAAGGAGAGGUAUUACCUACCUCCUUUUACCCCUACAUGCUCUUGGAGCUGAUUAUCACAGUUUGUAAUUUUUCCACCUUCCAUUCCUGCUUCUGUGUAUUUUGAUAAAUUUUUGCAGGUCAGUAGACUUCCCAUGGCAGAAUAUUUCCUGCUUCUCACCAGCCCUUAAGCCAAUCCAAGGAAAACAAAAGAACAUCAUAAUGCUUUGUCAUAUGACAAGAUUACAAAAGCAGCAUCCAGUGGCAGAAUGCCCAACUGCUCCGGGACACAGCCAAUAGCUGACUUCAGUGCUCCCCAUCCCUGCUUGUCAGUGAUUAGUCUAAAUUGUUAUCACAAGCCCAGUCUGACCAAUGAAUGUGAGUGAGGGGCCAUUUUGAUUGUCAGCUCCUGAUUCUGCAGAAAACACGAAACUGAGCUGUACAAAGAUGCUGAUGAGGGGCUGCAGCAUGCAAUUCACUUCACCAGCAGUCACUAAGGUCUGAUCUCUUUUCUAACCAUACCUGGAAGAUGGAAUGCUGGACCCAGGACUAGACUUGGACUAGAACUUUCACCAUUGGCUUACCUGGUUCUCAGACUUUUAGACUUGGACUGGGACUACACCAUCAACUUUCCUUGGUCUCCAGCUUGCAGACAACAGAUUAUGGGACUUGCCAGUCUCCAUAAUCAGAAGGCUUUGACAUAUCAAUGCACCAGGGAUCUUACCAAACUAAAUUUUAAGCACUUAUAGCUCAAGAUUCUCCCUCUGAGAUGAAACAUACUUCCACCCUGUCAUGUGUCAGCUUCAGAAGAUAUCAAUUGCUCAAGAAAGUGUUGGACAAGCAGAAAAGCACACUGAACAUUUCUGGACUUGUGAAAGAGCUCUGAAUAUGGAUCUCUCAGGGAUAUUCCAUCCCCACCAAUGCUUUACCAAUGCGAGAGCUGGCCAGGCUGAGACAUUUAAUGAUAACAUGGAACAAUUUAUUCAGGAAGAUAGUCAACUACUCAUGUGGCUUUAUGAUUAUAAAACCCACUGAAAAUUGGGUCCCUUGAUUCUCUUGAUUUUUCCUAAGCCUUACUCCCUAAAGUCUCCAAUUUGAUGAGGUAUUUGAUACUUGAUCUCUCCUUGAAGUAAAAUUUGGAGCAAAAUAUAUUGGACUGGAAGGCCUGAGACCUCGAUAAGAAGAAACAUGAACCCCAGAGCCACAGGUCAGGAGGUUUUCAUUAUAAUACUAUUGCCCUCUUAAAACAAAUACUCCAAUUGCCAAGGUUUCCUCACUUAAUAAUUUAUCUCAUAUGUGUUUUUGAAAGUUACUCUGAAUACUUCUUAUAUGUAUAAAUAAGUUAGUUAACAGUAAUUAAUGCAGAUAUUUAAAUAAAUACAAGCAGGCAGGUGGGAUGAUGACUACAGUCACUUGAUAAAGAACAGCUAGGUGGCCGGGCGCGGUGGCUCACACCUGUAAUCCCAGCAUUUUGGGAGGCUGAGGCGGGUGGAUCAUGAGGUCAAGAGUUCGAGACUAGCCUGGCCAACAUGAUGAAACCCCGCCUGUACUAAAAACACAAAAAUUAGCCGGGCGUGGUGGCAGGCGCCUGUAAUCCCAGCUACUCGGGAAGCCGAGGCAGAAUUGCUUGAAACCGGAAGGCGGAGGUUGCAGUGAGCCAAGAUCGGGCCACUACACUCCAGCCUGGGCGAAAGAGCAAAACUCCGUCUCAAAAAAAAAAAA
rnacentral:lncRNA from 1 species